rnacentral:lncRNA from 1 species
UCUUUCUUCCUGCCUGCUCAGCAAAGAGCCUGUCGCCACAGGGGCUGAGCCCCUCUCAGCAUGAGCUGGGUUAGGAGAGGGGGAGCAGCAGCUUUGGAGCAUGGAUGACUGACUUUUCCUUCCUGCUUCUGAUCGAGUGAGACGAGCUGGAGAGGAUUUGCCCGCACCCAGACCAGGAGCCCACCCAGCAGUAGGACUGGACAGAGAGUCUGCACAGAGGGAGAAGUGAGGCACGGGCCCUCCCCUAUGAGCCCUAGCAGCUGUGCUUCUGGCACACCCUGGCCAAUGCACCACCUUGCCAGCCAUGUCUGCCUCUGCAGCUCUCUGGUGAGACUACAAAGCAGUUAAAAUCCUUCUGUCCCCUGGACAAAGAAGCUGGCAGGAACAGAGAGCAGCUGUGUGCUGC